rnacentral:rRNA from 1 species
AUGUGCAGAGGGAAUAGCAGGUUAUGCGUGUUGGUGAGAGACUACUACUGUUACAUGCUCCAGACACGACCUGGGAUAUGCAAUCCCAUACUCUGUGGAGCACGAUUGCUCCAGCAAUGGGGGGUGGACAUGUACAUCAAGAUUGAGAGUUGUAGGUUGAAAUGGUACAGGAAGAACCAGACAAAGAUUCGUGCCGACCUGUAUAAAGGAGUUGUUGAUGCAAUUACAUCCGGCGAGACCCGGGCAAGCGCUGUUGGAGUAAGGAUAGUGCUCCCUGGAACGUACCCAGGUGGCGACCGUGACAUGAAGCGGAGGCAUAUGGAUGCCAUGGCAAUUGUCCAUCCCUACGGGAAGCCUGGCAUAUUCUUGACCAUGACCUGCAACCCUAACUGGGAAGAGAUAACGAAUGAGUUAUUUCCUGGUCAGACAGCACAAGACCGACCUGAUCUUGUGGCUCGUGUGUUCCAUGGCAAGCUAGAGGCUAUGAAAGAGUUGUUGUUCAAGAAGAAUAUCCUAGGUGUUGUUGUCGCACAUGUAUAUGUAGUCGAGUUCCAGAAGAGGGGCCUCCCCCACGCACACUUUUUGUUGAUCAUGGAUUCUACCUAUAAGCUUGUCGUUCCGGAGCAGUACGACCGACUCAUUUCUGCCGAGCUCCCAGACAAGCAGAAGUAUCCUGAACUCCAUGCCUUGGUGGUGAAACAUAUGAUGCACGGACCAUGCGGUGCUCUCAACCCCAAAAAUGUGUGCAUGCAACAGAACGAGUGCAAGUGCAGAUACCUGCGGCCGUUCAAUGAAAACACAGCACAGGGCAAGGACUCAUACCCAGUUUAUCGUCGUCGAGAUAAUGGUCGGCAGGCUAAGGUCCGGGGUAAAAUGUUGGACAAUAGAUGGGUUGUGCCGUAUAACCCUUACCUUCUGCGGAUGUUCAAUUGCCACAUCAACGUUGAGGUUUGCUCCAGCAUAAAGGCCGUCAAAUACCUUUACAAGUAUAUAUACAAGGGCCAUGAUAGGGCUUCUUUCAACAUCGACCAGCCCGACGCUGAUGGUAACAUUGAUGAGAUCAAAAGAUACGUAGACGCGAGGUGGGUUACUCCUCCAGAGGCGAUGUGGAGGAUAUUUGGCUUCCCCUUGUGUGCCAAUGACCCGCAUGUCCUACAGUUGCCUCUUCAUCUCCCGAAUAUGCACAAGGUGGCAUUCAAUGAGCAAGCUCACUUGACCGACGUAGUCGCCUCUGAGAAUGCUUCCAAAUCCAUGUUGACAGAGUAUUUCAAAGCUAACCAAAACCACCCGUGGGCUAGGAAUAUAUUGUACAAGGAUUUUCCUGGAAAGGUUCACAUGGCAGAAGGGUAA